rnacentral:rRNA from 1 species
UCGGCAAGAAGAAAGGCUAUACAUGGAGGCAUCUUUCGGAGCCCACACUCGGUUCAUUCAUUUGCCACAAGAUACAUCAAGGAGCUAGAAUUGAUCAACGAAACAAAACCAACUACUGAGCCAAUCUCUGUGGUGGCUCGGUCUCGAGCUACGCGUCCGCAUGCACCUCCUGCUGGACACGCGAAAAUCCAUGUUGAUGCAGCAGUCAGAACGGGCAGUAGGGGGGCGGUAGCCGUGGUGUGCAGAGACCACGAUGGCAAUUAUUUGGGAAGUUCAGCCUUGGUUAUACAAGGCGUGGACGACCCAGUUAACAUGGAGUCUAUCGCAUGCAGGGAAGCCCUAUGUAUCGCGGAAGAUUUGCUCCUCAAUCAGUUCGUCGUUGCAUCCGACGCCAAACAAGUGGUCUGUGACAUAAAUCAAGGGAGUCAAGGGAAGAAUGGUGCGAUCAUCAAUGAGAUUAAAGCAAGAUCUACCUCGUUUUUAUGUACCUUUGUUUUUUAGAGUCGUAGUAGUAAUGUAGAAGCUCAUACAUUAGCCAAAUUUGCUUUAAAUCUAGCUCCUGGGCGUCAUGUGUGGUUUGGCCAGCCACAUGAUGCAAACAUCAUCCCACCUUCUGUGGUUUUCGAUCAAUAA